UACGUAGGGGGCAAGCGUUGUCCGGAAUUAUUGGGCGUAAAGAGCGUGUAGGCGGUCCGGUAAGUCAGCUGUGAAAGUCAAGGGCUCAACCCUUGAAUGCCGGUGGAUACUGUCGGGCUAGAGUGCGGAAGGGGCGAGUGGAAUUCCUGGUGUAGCGGUGAAAUGCGCAGAUAUCAGGAGGAACACCAAUUGCGAAGGCAGCUCGCUGGGACGUUACUGACGCUGAGACGCGAAAGCGUGGGGAGCAAACAGG
rnacentral:rRNA from 1 species